AUACGGAGGGGGCUAGCGUUGUUCGGAAUUACUGGGCGUAAAGCGUACGUAGGCGGACUGAUCAGUUGGGGGUGAAAUCCCAGGGCUUAACCCUGGAACUGCCUUCAAUACUGUCAGUCUUGAGAUUGGAAGAGGUGAGUGGAAUUCCUAGUGUAGAGGUGAAAUUCAUAGAUAUUAGGAGGAACACCAGUGGCGAAGGCGGCUCACUGGUCCAAUACUGACGCUGAGGUACGAAAGCGUGGGGAGCAAACAGGAUUAGAAACCCCAGUAGUCC
rnacentral:rRNA from 1 species